rnacentral:rRNA from 1 species
CCUACGGGUGGCAGCAGUGGGGAAUAUUGCACAAUGGGGGAAACCCUGAUGCAGCGACGCCGCGUGAAGGAAGAAGUAUUUCGGUAUGUAAACUUCUAUCAGCAGGGAAGAAAAUGACGGUACCUGACUAAGAAGCCCCGGCUAACUACGUGCCAGCAGUCGCGGUAAUACGUAGGGGGCAAGCGUUAUCCGGAUUUACUGGGUGUAAAGGGAGCGUAGGCGGUUUAGCAAGUCAGAAGUGAAAGCCCGGGGCUCAACUCCGGGACUGCUUUUGAAACUGUUGAACUAGAGUGCAGGAGAGGUAAGUGGAAUUCCUAGUGUAGCGGUGAAAUGCGUAGAUAUUAGGAGGAACACCAGUGGCGAAGGCGGCUUACUGGACUGUAAAUGACGCUGAGGCUCGAAAGCGUGGGGAGCAAACAGGAUUAGAUACCCCUGUAGUC